GACGAACGCUGGCGGCGUGCUUAACACAUGCAAGUCGAACGAAGUGGCGAACGGGUGAGUAAUACGUGAGUAACUUGCCCUCCUUUUUGGGAUCAGCCUUGGAAACGGGGUCUAAUACCGAAUAAAGGGGGAUGGGCUCGCGGCCUAUCGGCUUGUUGGUGGGGUGAUGGCGUACCAAGGCGGUGACGGGUAGCCGGCCUGGGAGGGUGACGGGUGACAGUUGGACGGGCAUACGGGCCAGAGUGCUACGGGAGGGAGCAGUAGGGGAUAUUGCACAAUGGGCGAAUGCGUGAUGCGGGGACGCCGGGUGGGGGAUGGAGGCGUGAGGGAUGUAGACCUCUGGAGCGAACGAACCGGUAGGUGUAGAAUAAGCGCCGGCUAACUACGUGCCAGCCGCCGCGGUAAUUC
rnacentral:rRNA from 1 species